rnacentral:rRNA from 1 species
UAGUCCACGCCGUAAACGAUGGAUACUAGGUGUCCGGGAUAUUAACCUCCUGGGUACUACAGUUAACGCGUUAAGUAUCCCGCCUGGGGAGUACGGUCGCAAGGCUAAAACUCAAAGGAAUUGACGGGGGCCCGCACAAGCGGUGGAGUAUGUGGUUUAAUUCGAAGCAACGCGCAGAACCUUACCUACCCUUAACAUUUCACGACGUAUACAGAGAUGUAUAUUUCUCUUCGGAGACGUGAGGAUAGGUGCUGCAUGGCUGUCGCCAGCUCGUGCCGUGAGGUGUCAGGUUAAGUCCUAUAACGAGCGCAACCCCUAUUGUUAGUUGCCAGCGGGUCAUGCCGGGAACUCUAACAAGACUGCCGGUGCAAACCGAGAGGAAGGUGGGGAUGACGUCAAAUCAUCACGGCCCUUACGUCCUGGGCUACACACGUGCUACAAUGGCCAGUACAGAGAGCAGCCACUGCGCGAGCAGGAGCGAAUCUACAAAGCUGGUCACAGUUCGGAUCGG